rnacentral:lncRNA from 1 species
AUGGAUAAGAUCAAGGCUGCUAGAGAUGCACUUGAAACAGUGGGAGUAUUUGUUGAUGAUGAGGAUAUUGUUGUUACAGUAUUGAGAGUUUGUUGCUUGUUCUGUUGGUGAGCUUAAGACACUACUUAAGGCUGCAGAAAUUGAUAUAGAAAGUGAAGUUCAAGCAUCAUCAUCAACCUCAUCUCUUACAGCAAUGAUAGCCAAAAAUACUAGUUCUGUUCCUGCAUCUGACAACACUAAUGGUGCUUCCUCCUCAAGCUUACAGUCUCAAGCUCCUACUGUGCCACCUGGCUUUGGUCCUCUAUUAACUACUCCAGCCAACAACAACAUUCACCUGUCAUCACAAGCUCCAUAUGCU